rnacentral:misc_RNA from 1 species
AACAAGGCGUACCUGCGGACCUGCGGAGGGAUCAUUACACAAUAAACAUAUGAAGGCUGCACCGCCAACAGGCGGCAAGGCUGGAGUAUUUUAUUACCCUUGUCUUUUGCGCACUUGUUGUUUCCUGGGCGGGUUCGCCCGCCUCCAGGACCACAUGAUAAACCUUUUUUAUGCAGUUGCAAUCAGCGUCAGUACAACAAAUGUAAAUCAUUUACAACUUUCAACAACGGAUCUCAGAUC